CCUACGGGUGGCAGCAGUGAGGAAUAUUGGUCAAUGGACGAGAGUCUGAACCAGCCAAGUAGCGUGCAGGAUGACUGCCCUAUGGGUUGUAAACUUCUUUUAUAAAGGAAUAAAACGAGGCACGUGUGCCUUUUUGCAUGUACUUUAUGAAUAAGGAUCGGCUAACUCCGUGCCAGCAGCCGCGGUAAUACGGAGGAUCCGAGCGUUAUCCGGAUUGAGUGGGGUUAAAGGGAGCGUAGAUGGGUUGUUAAGUCAGUUGUGAAAGUGUGCGGCUCAACCGGAAAAUUGCAAUUGAUACUGGCAGUCUUGAGUACAGUUGAGGUAAGCGGAAUUCGUGGUGUAGCGGUGAAAUGCUUAGAUAUCACGAAGAACCCCGAUUGCGAAGGCAGCUUGCUGCAGCGGAACUGACGCUGAUGCUCGAAAGCGCGGGUAUCGAACAGGAUUAGAUACCCUUGUAGUC
rnacentral:rRNA from 1 species